UUCGGGAUGCCGGCGAGUGGCGAACGGGUGAGUAACACGUGGAGACCUACCCUGGGGUGGGGGAUAACAGCUAGAAAUGGCUGCUAAUACCGCAUACGCCUUACGAGGGAAAGAUUUAUUGCCCCAGGAGGGUUCCGCGUCGGAUUAGCUUGUUGGUGGGGUAACGGCCUACCAAGGCGACGAUCCGUAGCUGGUCUUAGAGGAUGAUCAGCCACACUGGGACUGAGACACGGCCCAGACUCCUACGGGAGGCAGCAGUGGGGAAUAUUGCGCAAUGGAGGCAACUCUGACGCAGCGAUGCAGCGUGGGUGAAUAAGGCCUUAGGGUUGUAAAGCCCUUUCAGUGGGGACGAUGAUGACGGUACCCACAGAAGAAGCCCCGGCUAACUCCGUACCAGCAGCCGCGGUAAUACGGAGGGGGCGAGCGUUGU
rnacentral:rRNA from 1 species